AUUUUCAUAUAACCAUUGGUUCCUUGUACAAGUAACACGAAACAUACUUGUCAUGUUUUAAUAGUAUACUUUGUAAAUAUAAUGAUGGAUAACUUGAGUACUCCACGUGACAAAUUAAGACCUACUAUAGAUAACGAUUGGACAUAUAAUAUCAUUCCAUUUAUCAUCCUUGUUUGGCUUUGUUAUAUAUGUACAUAUUUUUGGGGGGGUUAAUGUAUACUCAUAAAUCUAUAACAAUAAACCCUGUAAAGGGGUAAUUAUUUAUCUAAUUAUUUAUUUAUUUUAUUAUUCAUCACUAAUCACCUCUUAUUGCGAUACCUCCCCAUCCCUGUCUAAUUAGCUCCCUUCACCAUAUUAGGAUGCAAUCACCUUUAGUCACAUGAUCACACUAUGAUAUAAAUCCUACCCCACCCCUACCAUCACAUCAUUCAUACUCACUAUACUAUUGAGUUAGCUACAUUUGAAAGGACUGUAUUAUUACUCUGCUUUAUCAAACUAAACAAAAGAUGAACAGCAAGGUGCGUGGUGUUGGAAUGUCGCGCAAUACCAAGACAUUUGGUAGGAUAACUUUUCUUUUAACAUGUAGUAGUUUUUUCAUUUCUCACUAUCUUUCCAUCUUUCCUUUUUGUUACUGUGCCAUUGCUUAUCCUAACUCUUAACCUCUCCUUCAUUCUCCUCUGCAAAUUCUACCUGCACCCCUCUUAAAAAACCCUGAUAAAGAAGACUGUUAGGUCGAAACGCGUACAGGGUUGCCUUUCCUUUUCUCUCCUUUAUCUCUCGACUUAUCGUUUCUAAUUAACCAAUUCACCCCUCCUCAGUUCCUAUAAUCGUUAUUGCCAUAAUUCAUCACGUAUAUGCAGUUCAUACUAUUGAAGUUGAAGUAAAUAACAAUAAAUUUGAAUACUGGUCCUAUAAUUAUUUAGGUUACACAAUGUCUCACACCAGUACUUGUCCCAUUACCUAUUUACACCAAAACAAA
rnacentral:lncRNA from 1 species